AUUGAACGCUGGCGGCAUGCCUUACACAUGCAAGUCUAACGGUAACAGGUCUUCGGAUGCUGACGAGUGGCGAACGGGUGAGUAAUACAUCGGAACGUGCCCGAUCGUGGGGGAUAACGAAGCGAAAGCUUUGCUAAUACCGCAUAAGAUCUACGGAUGAAAGCAGGGGACCGCAAGGCCUUGCGCGAACGGAGCGGCCGAUGGCCGAUUGGGUAGUUGGUGGGAUAAAAGCUUACCAAGCCGACGAUCUGUAGCUGGUCUGAGAGGACGACCAGCCACACUGGGACUGAGACACGGCCCAGACUCCUACGGGAGGAAGAAGUGGGGAAUUUUGGACAAUGGGCGAAAGCCUGAUCCAGCCAUGCCGAGUGCAGGAUGAAGGCAUUCGGGUUGUAAACUGCUUUUGUACGGAACGAAAAGACUCUUUCUAAUAAAGAGGGUCCAUGACGGUACCGUAAGAAUAAGCACCGGCUAACUACGUGCCAGCCGCCGCCGUAACAC
rnacentral:rRNA from 1 species